CUAACAUUAGUGAACGAAAUAUUGGGCGGGUUCACGCUCUUGGCCUUUUCUCUCUAUUACCCCCUCCAGCCGAGUUGUAGAGCUGAGAGGUUUCUUUUCCUACGUACCGAAUUCUUCUUUGGUUCUCCGGUACUGCCACCACCACCAUUACCACCAGAAUCUAUAACUUUAUCUUCUUAUCCUUCUCGAGCAGCAACAGUGAUUCAAAGUGAACCACACAUCAUCUUCUCAUACUUGAGGCUUGAGCAAGUCCUUGCAACAUCUUCAUCAUCUUUUUGUUGAUUUCAGUUGGUCAUAGAGGGAUUUGGUAGAUUGGUUAACAACCUGUGGGCAAUUGCAUCAAUAUGCAGAAAAAAAGUCAGCUUACUACAGUGCCUUCAUUAGCUCCUUACACAUGCUACUAGAGGCCUGUUGUUUGCAUACAACUGAGUUUGGGUUCGAAAAUUAGGUCAAAACAAUGGAUUCUUGGUAUUAGCCUUUUCGCUGACUUGCAGACUGAAUUUCUUAGGGCUUAUGCAGGUUGCUUGAAUCAUCACUGUUAUAAAAAGACAUGUACUUUGACUUUGAGAUCAAAAAGUCAUAGAACGGACAGGAUUUAUUAGGGAGUGUCAUCUUGCGGUCGGAAUCAUCCGGAUCGAGUUUUAUCAAGCGAGGGACACGAAAUUUUGGUUUCAAUCUCCAAUAGUUCCCUUAUUGUUGUGUUACAAGCCAGCAUCCAUCUGAGUUAUGCAUUGAUUGAAUUUCACUUGCUCUGAACAGUUUUCAGAUGUAUGGAUAGUUUCAGUGCUACACUAAUUUUUGGAAUUAAACCAUACACUAUUUGCUUAAUUGGUUUGUUGUUUGUUUAAGAUUUGAAAGAAGAACGUAGGUGUUGAUGUCAACAAUUUCAGGGCUAAUAACAAUUUGAGAGAUGUUACUCCUACUCUUCCGCCUUCUGCACCUGCAGCUGUUGUUGGAGAUGAUGUUACAAGUGCUGGGCAUCUACAAGUCCUUAUCUCAUUCCGAGGAGGAUCUGAUUCAAGCCUCCAUUCAUAAUAAUAUCAACGUGGAGGAACAUAGAUCCAGGGGGGGGUAAGCCCAUAAACAUAGAGGUAAUUUAUACCUUUAAACGCUCUAAAUCGAACAUAAUCAGAUAUACGGAAACCAAUUUCUUUUAUUAUGUCGGCAUGCAAGUACUUACAUGGUUGAAGAUAGGCCUCUGCGAUAAGGUUAAACAUACAUACCGUGUCAUCCUCAUUGAGACGGGACGGAGAUUUGGGGCCGGAUUCUGAAAAUUACAAGGUGAUUGGAAUUUUUUUUAAAAGUUUAAGGAACAUGGCAUAUAAACAAAAAUGUUGAGCCAGGUGGUACUACGAAUGAUAAGAGGAAGUACGUUCUGCCUCUGAAAGCAUCGUGGAUAAGAUUACUUUUUUAGCGUUGUUGCUUGGGAAUCAAAAGUGAUGGGGGGAUGAAAAUAUAAUGGCAGUAUUCUUGCUACAGAAGUGGUGGCAGACUUAAUAGGUAAACUAACCCAAUUUCAAGCUGGCGUUACAAUGGAGAUAUCUUGACUGGACUGUAUAAUGGUUUUCAAUCAAGGACAGAUCUGUGGAAUGCCUGGCAACCUAUGUUUUGCAUUGCCUUCGUCAACACGACGCCGACUUACCAAAAAUUUACUCUUUUGUAUGCAGGUAUAUUUACAUCUUCGAGAGAAGCAAAAUUAUCUCACAAUAGCCAAGGUAUGCCAAAUUGCUUUUACGACUAUGGGUGAUGGGCAUAUAGAUCCAUCAACAAAUGAUUUUCCUUCGCAUCUCUUAGAUAUGGGAAACCUGUUUUCACUUAAAGAUUUACUUUUUGUAUCAAAUAUGUUCAACUUCCUAGACCAUCCAGAAAUCCAUGUCAUUUUCACGGUUAUAGUAGAUCGUAAUUUCAUGUGAUGGUAUGGAUUGUGGUGUCCUUUAACAUGAUUUCGUUGCAUAUUUGGAACUCAGAACUAAUUUUUCUAAGUGGGAUUAGCAAGUGGAUCCUUUAGUUAAUAGAUAAGCUUAUUGUGAUGAUGCAAAGACCGAUUUUAUCAUGUUGAUUCUGUGAAAAUUCGACAAUAUAAUAACCCAAGAUAUAUGAAUAUUAAUCUGAUCGCGCUACCAGACCUCAUUCAGUCUCCAUGUAUUGCCACUUGCCAUCUUAGCUCAGCUGGAAGAGCGCAUGGGUUUGAACCAUGUGGUUGUGGGUUCGAUUCUCACAGAUGGCCGAGGGUCCCUAUGGUUACGCACGUUGUGCUGCAGCUAAUCUAACUUGGUUUCUCUGCAGUUCCAAAUUCUAUUAGGUAACACACUUCUGCUGAAGUUGACUUCAAUAGAAAUUAAUAGGUUUACAGAUCAACAAACAACCAUAGGGCAUAUCAACAACUUUGUUCUUGACAUUUAGCAAGUGUCAGUUCAUGGAAUCUUGGUUGACAGAUCUCCGGUUUCAUCUGAUGGGAGAGAGUUUGAUUGGAGAGGUAUAGCUAAACUUUGGAAAUCAAUUUAGUGAAUCAGGAUCAAGCUAGGUUUCAAAGAUCGGAAACUUAGGUUUUUUUUCAUUUUAAUGUCCUUAAUUAAAGGUUUAUCCUAUCUUCUUCUGAAUUUAUUUAUUUAUUUCAUUUUAAUGUCCUUAAUUAAAGGUUUAUGCUAUCUUCUUCUGAAUUUAUUUAUUUAUCUUUGUUUUUUUUUGUUUUUUUUGGGUUUUCAAAUUUUGGUGCAAUUUCAGUAAUUUCAACGGGAGAUAAUUCGUACAGCCUGCAAUUUUGUAGAAAGUAUCUCUUGCAUCUUAUAUUUUUCAUAAGUUUCAUUUGCUUUGUUACUUAAAUGCUAAUUUUCAAGGUAGCUUAUGCAUAUUUUUCGGGUAUUUACUCUCACACAAUGACAUCCAUCUGGCAGAAGUGGAACUUGAAUCCCGACCAGUUCUUCUCAAAUCAGCCCAGUAACAGUACGAAAUAUUACUGCAAAUAUAGAUUAUGGUUUAAUUCAUUGCUCGAUUACGACACUGAACAGGUAUAUGUAUCUUACUUUUUAACGUUACAGUUAGGAUUCUAUUAUAUUGUGUUCUUCAUCGGGUCCAAACAUCUGAGGCUAUUUUGGAGAUAGUCCAUCUAUAUUUCAUAGGUGUCAGUACAUGGGUCUACCAUAUGUUAUUUUAUAUUGUUUCAACAAAUACUUUCACAGCAUAUGGAACUGUGGUAGUAGUUAAUGGUUGUGCAGAUUAAAGGAAAUAAUUUAGACAUCCAACGUUAAGGAAUUUUCAUGGCCUUAUGGAUCAUGGUAUUCACUUGAAAUUGGACAUAGGGUUUGAUGUCUGACACAGCUCCAUCUGUUUUGUUUUGUACCUGUUGACCUUGGUUUGCUCUGAACUCCAUAUGUGGUUUGAGAUACAUAUUAAUUCCAUUGCGCACCCUAUUUCUAACAGGUGUUAUUAGAUUCUGACCCGCUUGCGAUGCAGUUCUUUGUUGUUGGAACAUCAGAUUAUCUUGCUACGUACCAACAAAAGCUGGAUUCGAUUUGAUCGAACAACAAAAGCUGCAUUCUAUUCGAUCAAGAUGUGUUAGCUUCUUCAGUGUUUCUUUAGUGGCAAGGUUGAGCAGGCUUGGUACCAGUGGUCUUACUGCCCUCAUUAUUGGCAAUGAACAUUUCGUUCUCUUUUUUCUGCCCUCAAAUGUUCGAGUCAGAAUUCUGUAUUUGCCGGGUUUUUCUAAAGCUUAUUUCAGCAAAGCCAUUCUUUGUUGGAUGCUUCCACUUAAGCACUGAUUAAAAAUUAGGUACUCACUUGAACUCUUCAAACUGGACAGGUGGAUAUGAAGCUUCAUCUAAGAUGUCUGAAAUCCCAGAUAUUUAUAAGAAACUUCAUAAAGUCCCCAUGAUGUUCCCAGUCAGCCCUUCAAUGAUCCGAAUAAUACUCAUAAUUCCUUAGUUCAGAGCGUGCCUUUGCAAUCUUCAUUUAUCUUGCAUCUUUACAUCUUCAAAAUAUGGUUAGAUAGAGUUAUGGUUAGGAGGAGUUGCACGUCCUAAUGGAAUAAAUGGUUGUCUGCUUUCUUCUAGAGAAAAGAAGUUUCAUCUGAGUGUCCCAAUUAAGAAGGUAAGACUUACAAAGUAAAAAGAAGGCAGGACUUGAGCAUCUGCAGGUACCAUUGCACUAGCCUCAUGGCCUUCUUAGCAUGCCUUGCCAGUUUCUUGAUCAGAUGCAACCACUGUUGUUAACCCAACACCGGAUGAAAAAUUCGUGAAUAAUAUAACAUGAAAAAAUCUGAAUGGUGGCACAGAUUCGCAAAUUUAUGCGUGCUAAAAUUUUGCUCAAACUGACCCAGUUCUUUCCCAAACGUUAAUAAAUGUAUCGUUAAGGGUCCAUGUAGUUAUAGGAACUGCAUCUCCAUGUAUAGGAAAAUAAAAUUGCACCAACAGUUAACCAAAGGUGGUUGUAAAUUUUCGGAUGAACCUGGAUAUCCGGUUUAAUCGUCUGCAUACUAUUACUGUCACAUGUUAAUGCCUAUUACGAUCCAGUUAUACUUACGACAUGUCAAGCCUUAAGCAAGAGUUGAACGAUGUUUGAAAGAAAAAUAGGAUGACGGGAUCUUGAUCUUUGUGAUAUGUCGAGUGCCAAGAGUUGUCAAGAAAACAAAUUAUCAAGAACCAAGUGUCAAGAAUUAGAUCAUCUAACGAGUAAUUGUAAUGUGAACCCAACACCGUUCUCACUUCUCAGUUAGUUAGAAUAUAUUUCGAUGAAUACUAAUUUGGGAUUUGGGCAUUGCAAGGUUGCACUUUUCAUAGGUCCCUUGCAUGUUUUAAUUUGUUAGAUAAAAAUCGCCCGACAUGAUCCAGUAAGUCGCAUUGUAUUUUGACUCUCACCUAAUGGGUUGGUGAUGUUCUUAUUUGAUCAAUGGUCACCACUCAAUUAUCCUGGAAUCGAUGAAUAAAAAAGCACAAAGAGUUAUCUUUUACCGCAAAAAAAAAAGAUAAUAAAAUAAAUUAGAAAAAAUAAAUAAAUAAAAUAAAAUAAGGAGAAGUGCCUAAGCAUAUCCAGAGGAAAGGAAAAAGGCAACACCUAAUACAAGAAAAAAAAUAUCCAAAGAAUUGGCAAGAAUCAACUCGAAACCCAGAACAACAAAUACUCCAAGGCACGAAGGGUUACCAUUAGCUUAU